AGCUCCUCGGCUCGCGCUCCCCUCGCCUCCUGUGCUUUCCCCGCCGCGGCGAUGCCAGGGCCUUCGCCAGGGCUGCGCCGGGCGCUACUCGGCCUCUGGGCUGCUCUGGGCCUGGGGCUCUUCGGCCUCUCAGGUAAGAGCCCCGCUCUGGCUCGGGGUGGACAGGGCGGGGGCGGAGUCCCUGGACCUGAGAAACGGCCUGCUGUCCCUCCCAGCUCCGCCCUCGCCUCGCUCCCACGCCUCUGCCCCCACCUCGAGCCUGAGUCUUUUCCCCUUCCCCCUCCUCCCCAACACACACCCGAGCCCCAGCUACCUGACUCCUCGAUAGCCCCUACCCGCUUCGAGAUCCUAGGUGUUCUUCCGCACCCAACCCUUCGCCCUGGAGAUCCAGUGUCUCUCCUGUCCCCUCCCUGGCUACCUCCUCACGCUCUGCUGUGCACCAUGGUCCACGGACUGGCAUCUUCCCCACUCGCGGUCCGCGAAGACUCCAUCUCUCCAACUACCCUGACUCAGAGGCGCUGUUCCCGCUCCACCCAGAGCCCUGGCAACCGCGUCCCUCAGCUGUUCCCGCGGUUCGUUCCAUGAGCUCAGCCUUGCGUCCCGGCUCCGUGUUCUUCAGGAAGGUGUAGGGUCCUUCCUGAUCCUUGACCCAGCCUCGUCUCUCCUUUGCCCUUGCCGCAAACGCACUCUCCUCGUAUCCCGGCAUUCUGCCAGGACCCUGAGAACUGGUUCAUUCCCCAUCCCCAUCCCGGGUCCCCUUCGCUCAGCUUUGCUAUGUUCAUCCAAGACCUCACCUUUCCUCUCCUCUACCCCCUCCCCCCAUGCUUUCCCGCCGCUCCAUCGGCCUUUUGGAGACCAUGGCUCUCUGCUACCACGUCCCAGAGACACCCUCGAGGUUUAGACUCUGGGAGCGCGCCUUUAAACCGGA
rnacentral:sRNA from 1 species